GUGAGGAAUAUUGCGCAAUGGAGGCAACUCUGACGCAGCCAUGCCGCGUGCAGGAAGAAGGCGCUACGCGUUGUAAACUGCUUUUAACCGGGAAGAAACCCCAGGACGUGUCCUGGGUUGACGGUACCGGAGGAAUAAGCACCGGCUAACUUCGUGCCAGCAGCCGCGGUAAUACGAAGGGUGCAAGCGUUAUCCGGAUUCAUUGGGUUUAAAGGGUGCGUAGGCGGAGCGUUAAGUCAGUGGUGAAAUCCUGCAGCUUAACUGUAGACUUGCCAUUGAUACUGGCGCUCUUGAGUGCGCUUGAAGUGGGCGGAAUGUGCUGUGUAGCGGUGAAAUGCUUAGAUAUGGCACAGAACACCAAUUGCGAAGGCAGCUCACUAAGGCGAUACUGACGCUGAGGCACGAAAGCGUGGGGAUCGAACAGGAUUAGAUACCCGGGUAGUCC
rnacentral:rRNA from 1 species